ACUUUCUUUUUCUUUGGUAAGUGCAUGAGUGUAUUUGUAUAGGUUUUGACAGUGGUCCAGUCAGACGUUGACAUCGGUGCACGAGCCUCGUGGUCAUUGACUGGUUUGUAAAUAGCCUACCUAACAUUAUAAACGUUUCCCUAAACGACUUGGCCUUGAUCAUUUCUUUUCUUCGUUUUGUAAACAUUUGGUACAAGAGACUUAAUCAGAUGACUCCUCCUUUCUCCGAUUUAUUUUUUAUUAAACAUUUUCUUUCUUUUUCUUUUUCUUUUAAAGUUGGUAUUUGUAUUCAUUAGGUUUUGGUUCGAUUUAAAAAGCAUGCAACAAAACCUAAUCACCGUUAUGCUGUAAAGAAAACAUUUUAUUGUAGCUAUUAAAAGCACUCAACAAAACAGGCUAUCCGGUUUCCUCAGAACGCACCAGCCCCACGUUCAAACGCGAAAAGUGGUAUUUCACAUUAAACAAACCUUUUCGUAGAUUACAUACAGCAUUUAGAUUACUACUACUAGGUUGGCUAAUCUAAAGUCUUCCUUAAUGCCACGCACGCCCCCCACACACUGGCAGACAAGCAAUCACUUUCAUGUGUUAAAAGAUCACGUGGUGAACUUUAAACGUCUCCAGGCCUCGAUGACAGCACUGACUGUCGUCCCCAUUGGUCCCGAAGGCAAAUAGUUAAUGUAAAUAUGCUGGCGCUAAGUGGGAGUGCCUCGCCAUUAGUUUAGCUGUCACUUGAGCGCUGUCGAAUGUCUUCAGUGGUUGUGUCGUUGAGGUCCGCACUAGCAUGUGGUCACCCUCCGCGCGCACCUCAACACUAGUCGCGGGAGAGCCGAGUACGAUGCAAGUCCACGCGCUCUAACAGGCCUGAGAUAAACCCGCUACACAAGCGCUCGUGGACAUUUUAUAUUAGAUCGGCGCGAUUCCAAGGCGUCUGAUUACCAGAACGCUCUAAUAGAGGACAGACAGAGCGCAUUUAUCCAAAGGACUCGAAGGUUUCGAAUACGCGUUUUCCUCCACAAAUAAAAGGCACUUCGCUUUCUUCUGAAAAAAGAUUUCCAGGAAUGGAAUCCAUCCCAAAUCAGCUGCCGGCUGGAAGAGACUCCAGCUGUUCGCCGAACUCUAAACAAGACUUGCAGUCUUACUCUGGGCCAACACUUAAGCCGAACCAAGUCAGUGAGACCUCUUUAUAUGGAAUACCGAUCGUUUCACUAGUCAUAGACGGUCAAGAGAGACUUUGCCUAGCCCAAAUAUCCAACACUCUCCUGAAGAGCUACAGCUACAACGAAAUCCACAACCGGCGCGUGGCCCUGGGCAUCACUUGUGUGCAGUGCACUCCGGUCCAGCUGGAGAUUCUCAGGCGCGCGGGGGCUAUGCCUAUUUCCUCUAGACGCUGUGGGAUGAUAACAAAGCGAGAGGCCGAGAGGCUUUGCAAGUCGUUUCUGGGCGCCCACAGCCCGCCGAAAUUACCAGAAAAUUUCGCUUUUGACGUGUCGCACGAAUGCGCGUGGGGCAGCCGGGGCAAUUUCAUCCCGGCCAGAUACAACAGCUCGAGAGCGAAGUGCAUUAAGUGCUCGUUCUGCAACAUGUAUUUCUCUCCAAACAAGUUCAUCUUUCACUCCCAUCGCACGCCGGAGUCCAAAUACACGCAACCCGACGCAGCAAACUUCAAUUCGUGGAGAAGACACUUAAAACUAUCCGAUAAAAACUCACCGGACGACGUGUCCCAUGCCUGGGAAGACGUCAAAGCCAUGUUUAACGGUGGCAGCCGCAAGAGGACGCUGCCAGUCGGUGGGUCUGGUAGUUCGUCCUCGUUUAGUACGCAAGCACCGAGAGGUCAGACCCAGGGGGAACCGUCUGAGGUGCCCCACAAAACUCUCCGAUGUGAGGAUGACAGAGUGAACGUGACGAUGCCGAGUAGCAUACGCAGUUACCCCGUUAUUCCGGUGCCCAGUAAGAGUUUUGGGAUGUUACAGAAAAUUCCACCACCGCUCUUUCCACAUCCAUACGGUUUCCCGGCGUUUGGAUUGUGUCAGAAGAAGGAUGACGGUGUGGUGAUGGGAGAGCCGAACAAAACAAACCUGUCAGGUGUGUUCUGGCCGAGCGCGAAGGACAGCGCCUAUCCCUCCUUUCCGAUGUUUUGGCCUACAACAGGCAGCUUGGCCAUGCCAACAUACCACCAUGCCCAGCCUAAACCUCCACCUGACGUGUUGUGCACUAGACAUAGUGAGCUAGACGUGUCAGAGCAAAGUGACCGAAGCACGAGCACCCCUAAAGACAGUCUACUUGAUAACGAACGGUGUUCCAGCACUCAGUCUACCAGAAACGAGGAGGAUAAAUCUGGGGAUGAGAGCAGGUCUAUAGAAGGGAUGCCAGCCACCCCAAGAAAAAUAAGCUACAUAUCUGCAUUCAGGCCGGUUGUUAAAGAUGUUGAGAGCAUCGCAAAGCUAUACGGAAACAGGGCUCCGUAUUCUGGUCCUCGAUCUGGUUAUAUGUCACCAGAUUUCUUGAGUGAAAGUUCUAGUUACAGAUCGGUGUCUCCGGACGUGGACAGCGUGGACGAUCCGGAUGUGGAUGUGGAGUCACAUAAAGUGCACGAGGACGAGGAGUGUUUGCAGCUGACUGUGGAUGACCGGCGGAGUCCUCACGGUUUGACCGUAGCGCAAAGUGACGGGGUUAAAGGUCAAGACCAAGACAAUAGCCAAAUGCACACCUUGAGUGAUCUACACACGACGAAUUCAAGUGAAACGCGGUCGUCUGAUUUGGAGAGCCACGGCAAUAAGCACGCUACGCGAUUUGAAGUCUAUGCGCGUGAACGAGACGAGCACGUGCAUCAAAUGAGCACAUCUUAUUUUGGUUCAACGACCACUUACCAACGCGAAGCGAGUGUUAAAGACGUGCAUGAAGAAGAACCUUCAUCUACGGUGGAAGAGAUGGAACCCAAAAAUCAUCAGGAUCAAACCAACAUCAGUGAGGAGCGCCUGAAGGAACUAAAUGAUGAUGAGGAAUCAAUGCGCAAGGACACUGGCAGCAGGGUCUCCUUAAUUGAGAAAAACAUAGAGAACAUGGCCAAAGAGGAAUUGCAGAAACAGCUUGUGGAACAAGUAGAACUUAGAAAAAAGUUGGAGCGUGAAUUCCAGAAUCUAAAAGUUUUCAAGACCAAAUGAAAAGAGAGCUCUCAUACAGAGAGGAAAUGGUGCAGCAACUCCAGAUUGUUCGAGGUAAGCUCACGACGCACUACACCAUUUCUCGUGUAAGAUGCUGACUCCCCGUCACUGCUCUGGGACCUGCACCUUCAAACCUCCUCUUCUACCGCCUUGAUGGACACCUAUUGAAGACAUAAAUACUGCUGUGUCAAAUAAAACGUUACGUUUUUCCCUCUGCAAAACACUGUCAACCUUUAGACCUGAAAUAAGCAAGUGUGUCCUGUAGUAUUUUAGCUCUUACGCUGUAAUGAAGUCAUUUUCAUUUGCAAAAGAGUGGUUUCAGAGUCACUGUAUGUACUGUAUAAUUUAUAUAAAGUUCUAGAAAACUGCAUUAUAAAAAAAUCGACGUCCCACUUAAAAAUAUUAUCAUCAGCUGUAGAAAUCACUGGUAUUAAGUGGCUAUGUGCAAUGCAUAUAUUUGUUAUGUAUCCUGUGAUACCCUUUUUGUUAGUGAUAGGUUAGGACAUUUUGUUAAAUUAGAUAAAUGUUUUUGUAUAUUUUAUUUAUUCCAUGUCCAUGUUGGUUGUUUAUUCUCAUCUGCAUAUUUGUAUAAUAUUGAUGUAAAGCACUUUAAAUUGGCAGCCCUAACUACUGAAAUGUGGAUUAAAUGAUCCUGUUUGAGA